GCUUAGCCGUAAACAUUGAUAGAUCUAUCCGCCCGACUACUACGAGCACGAAGCUUAAAAACCAAAGGACUUGGCGGUUCAUCAGAUCCCUCUAGAGGAGCCUGUUCUAUAACCGAUACUCCCCGUUUAACCUCACCUCUCCUAAGUAGCCCAUAUACCACCGUCUUCAGUUUACCCCGUGAUGGACCAACAGUGAUCACAAUCGGCAUAGCCCAGAACGUCAGGUCGAGGUGUGGCUCAUGGAGAGGGAAGAAAUGGGCUACAUUCACUCGGGCAUUGAAAGAAGGAGGAUUUAGCAGUAAGUGGUAACUAGAGUGUACCACUGAACUGGGCCCUGAAGAACGC
rnacentral:rRNA from 1 species